rnacentral:lncRNA from 1 species
UCAGUUGGUGCUGCUGCCCAUCAUUUCACUCUCACAACAAAUAGGAAUCAUGUACCUGCAUGGAAGAAAUAAUCACACAACACACAAUGAUCAGAAUAAGCAAAUGCAUAUAAUUAAGCAUGAUACAAUAUCAAUAUUGAUGGAAGUAACAAUGACUUGUCAAAAACUUGGAUGAAAUUCAAUAUGUAAAUCAAAGCUUUGUCCCUGAAACCCUCUGUGUAAAUCAAAGCUUUAUCCCUGAAACCCUCUAUGUAAAUUUGACAGCCUCGUCUCUCCCUUCCUGAAAACCCACUAAAAACUACCUAACCCCCCCUGCUGUUACUCCAUAAUUUAUUCUGCAAUAAUUGCUUAAGGCAGUUACAUAUGGUCCUAAAUUACUACAGAUUCAGUUAUGAUUAACCCUUUGUGCCUAACUAGGGUUUCGAAACAUCACAACAGAGACAAACCAUUGAACAAUGGAUUUUCAUCAUUAACAUACAACAGAGACAUACCUUCGAUGGAAGCGCAGACACGAACUCCACAAACGCGAACUCGACAAUGUGGUUGCAGUCACGGAAGCACAGCCCAAUUUGCGACAAACACGAACUCAGGCAGAAGGAGAAACAACAAUAACGCCCUGAGAGUACCCUUUCCGGGACUCUUUCCUUUCCUACUUUUCUUCGACCUGCGAAAGUGAGCAAAUGUUAAAACGACGAACGCCUAAUGUUAAAACGAAAGAACGUACCUCAAUGGAUAAGUGGCAAAGACGAUCUCCACAAACACGAUCUCCACAAUGUGGUUGCAGUCACGGAAGCGCAAGCGACUUUGACACAA